rnacentral:lncRNA from 1 species
UCAAAUGUAUAUAAUACUAGCAUACACCUCCACCUACACACAAAGGAUCGUCUCCCAGAAAUAGAGAGAACAAACACUAUUGUUCAAAAGGGUCCUCCUCUCUGAAGAACUGGAGCUCCUGGACCUCACCAAAAAAUGGCACCUGCUUCCUCAUCUUCUUUAUUCUUAAACCGUGAGCACAAUCACAAAACCAGCCCCAAAUAGCUAUGAAAUUGACCAAAAGUUCCACCGAAAAUGACACCCAAAGGCAGCUCUUAAUCCGGAACUAAAAUCUCAGAUCAGAACCAAAAUAUUGUUUGAAAUUCUUUCGAUUUUGGCGUUGAUUUCUGGGUUUUGCUGAAGAAUUUUGCUGUCCGUGGCUUGCUGUUGUCGAUGUUUAAGUCACUGUACUGUAGCAGUUCGUCUUCAUUUUUGUUCGGUUCAACUUCUGCUUGUUUCGCUGCUGUCCAGGUACGGUUCCUUGACUAAAUGACAUAAAUUUGCAGAUUUGUUUGAGAAUAAGAACUGGUGGAAAUUGUUCAUGUCUCAUCUGUUCUGUAAUUUUUGUUUGAUGGCUAUUGUUGGAGUGUCUAAUUGCUGAAGUUUAUGCUUGAAUUGUUAGCUUUUGGAGUACUGGUUUUGAGGUUGAGAACACAGGUGUAGUAUUUUAGUUGCAGAAUUAUACAGUUUAUUGGUGUUGUAGCUUUCAUGUAAUUACAGAUCUGAAAUUGCUUCCCUUAAGGUUCAUUUCUACUCUGAAUCUUUAGUUUGGGUGCCAUGUUCUGCUUGUGUAUUUCCGAAACUAAACUAAGCCAGUCAAAAAAAUUGUGUUCUCGUGUUAUUUGUCUGGUAACGUCACAAGAGCAGAACCAAAUGAUCACUUAUACUUUGUAGAUUUCCAAGCCUUAAUCAUUUUUUAAAAAUAAAAUAAAGGAAAGGUUUGUGAUAGGGAAGAAUGAAGCAUGGUAUUGACUUGGUCAGCUACCACACUUGCCGGAAGUUCCAGUGGUCUAGGAUGUGUGUUGAUUAUCAAUUUAGGUGCUAAUAUUAUUGAUAUUCUGGACAAUAUGUGUAAUUGUUGUCAUUAAAAAUUGAAGCUGCCUCAGCAAGGGAUCUAAUUGGAGAGAUUUGUUUUCAAAUGUUCCUUUGAUUAAUGUGGUCUUCAAGGAAGAGUUUAUCCAACUGUUUCUAUACUGUGAGGGGGUUGGCACUAACUCUACUUAUGAUUUGGUAGUAAGGAAUGUGAUAUUAUACAACUUUUGCUAAUUGAGAGGAUUUUUCGAUGGUAUAGUCAGUUGAUGCUUUGAUUUAUUCUAAUUCAUGUUUCUUGUGAAAGAAUGAGUAAUUCUAUAUAUUUCAAGUAAAGGAGGAAAAUUUUCUUAAUAUGUUUUUAUAAGUGAUAUGCAAUGUUGCCUAUACUGUUAUCCAAGUGGUGGGACCUAGUUUUGUCGCUGGUCAUGAAGCUGUGUUAAUAAUCAGAAAGUGAACACAGAACAGUUUUGAUAUAAUCCAUUUCACCAACUAAAGAGAGAUAAAGAGUGGCUUCUUCAAUUUAGAUAAUCCAUGACCCUCAAAAGCUUAGCUUGAAUUUUCCUUUUAAAAUGAAAUAAUUUGAUGCGUGCCAUGCAAAAUAAAAUCUCAAAAUGCAUGACCCUCACUUGAUUAAUUUUAAUUCUUUAGAAAUCGAGGCGUGCCAUUUAGCAAAUUUCCAAGGCCCUCCCAACAGAUUACAACGCGUUAGACUCUAUUAGGCGCGACUUUAAUAAAUUACAUUCUUAAAUACGGGUGAGCAUUUUAUGCGGUCCAAAUCUAAAUCCUAAAACGUUGAAUAGAGUGUACCUAGGAUUGCGGGUUCAUUGAUGCGGCAUAAUCCGAAAACACACUUUAAACGACGUUCACUUUCUCAAAUUAAUAUUAUGUUGAAUAAAAGCGGUAAAAAGUAAAAAUUGGAAAUCAGAUUUUGGCCAUUCACGACAAUUUAAGCGACCAUGCUAGAACCAUGGGAUUCGAGGGUGCCUAACACCUUCCCUCGGGUCAACAGAAUUUCUUAUUCAGAAUUUCAGGUUUGCAGACUCCAAUUGGGAAGUCGAACAUUUUCCUCGGAUUGGGAUUCAAGCUAAACUGGUGACUAUACUGUUGAGUUGCUCUAAGUUAGCAUGAACAAUGGUUGCCUCAUUAAAGACCUCGCCGGAAAAAAUCAUCUUGGAUAAAAACCGGUCUAAAGAAAAUAGAGUGAAAACAUUUCCCAAUUGGCGACUCUGAAUAAAUAAAUAAUUUCGAUCCGAAUAAUGUCACUUUAAAUGAAAAACUCCCUUAUACAUUAUCCUUCGGGGUAGAUGUGUAAAAAGGAGGUGUGACAAUGAUGGAUGAAUUGUUUGUGUCAGUUGACAUUUUCGAAGGAUAUUGCAUAUCUGCUAAUAGAUCUCUUUUUGAGACACCCAGAUGGUGGACUCUAAUAUAGUACCGCUAGAUAUGAGUACUUCAAAGAUAGGCACCGGAAGCCUUGACGGGAUAAAUAUUACCUUAGAACGAGAAUUCUUGGCAACUCGAAGAGCCAAUGGAUGAAGCAAGGGGAGCUUAAAGCAAAAGAAUGUCAUGUUGAAAUUUUCAAAAGAAAGUGAUAGGGAGAAGAUUAGAAGGAAAAUAAGAAGAGAGAUAAGGAAGCAUUAUAAAUAAGGAGUGAUACAUGGAUAACAACGGUAGAGUGUUACAAAACCUGUAGUCAAAUGAAUAAAGUGACGAAAGGUAAUGUGCCUUAAGACAACAAAAGAGUAUAGGCCAUUAUACACACACACACACACACACACACACAUAUAUAUAUAUAUAUAUAUAUAUAUAUAUAUAUGGGAUAUGAGAAAGGUUAUGACAUUAUAUACACACCAUCACCUGAUUAGCUGGUAUACGUUGAUGAUUUUGCCCACAGUGGCCGAGAUGAUAUGAUAGGAUGCCUCAUAGGCUGAUGAUGUUAUGAAAAAUGUACCUAUGCACGACUUGACAUUCAUACGCAUAUGCAUGACACUAAUUAUUUCAUGAUUUACAAAGUUAUCCAGACUUAUAGAUGGAGUCAUUUAUUCUACAUUUCCUCCAUGUCUUUUAUGUACUUAUUUAUAUGCCUUACAUACUCGGUACAUUAACUAACGUCCCUUUUGCCUUGGGACGUUGUGUUCAUGACCGCAGGUCCUUGAUAGACGGGUCCAAGUGUCCUCCAAGUAGGCGAUUAACUCAGCGGAAGAUGUUGGUGCGCUCUAUUUGCUCCGGAGUUGCUUGUUUGGUCAGUACAAUUUAGAUGUGUAUUGUUUGGUAUGGCGGGGCUCUGUCUCGACCUUUAUGACAAUUAUGUAUCCUUAGAGGCUUGUAGACAAGUGUCAUAUACAUAAAAGAUUGUAUGGCCUUGUCGGCCUAUGUUCAGUAUACGAGUUGUUAUUUUGGUCUUAGAGGCUCAUAUGUCCUAUGUAUAAGGUUGUAUUACAUGUUGUAUUCUAGCAAUUUUACAGCAGCCUCUCCGGCUUAGUUAGCUAUGAUAAUAUGAUACAAACAUAUACGUUAUGUUGGUAUUCAGUUGAGUAAGAUACCGGGUGCCCGUCAUGGCCCAUCGGUUUGGGUCGUUACAUUUUUAAGUGUCACUCCCGAGUGUGGUGUUCGUGGCCUAUAAAAACGAG